GCCAGAACUUGAAACAAUGAUUCUUACAAGGUAUUAACAAAGUAGAAUUGAUGAGACAAUGGUGCUUAAUAGUUCUCUAGUUCAGUAUGAUUGAUUUAAUCUUAUAAGAAAUAAUGGGUUUCCUAGUGAUGUAAUGGUUGGUUUAUACUCAGUGUAGAGUAUAGAAGCUGGCAGCCUCAGCUAAAUUCGUUUUAGAGAGGUUGAGAAGACAAGUGGACUGUAGGCUGAAGCACAAGCCCUUGGAUAGAUUUAUUCAUCCCAUCUUAUACCAUUCUGCUGGCAGGCUCUCCUUCUGCAUUUCUACACUGAGACCAAGGCUGGUCUGAAAGAAUCUCCAGAAAGCUGCCCAGCCCCAGGAAGGAGAUAAUAAAGAAUCUGGACUUUAACACCUGGCUGUUCUCCUGGUGAUUACUGAACUGAAAAGAAGGCUGCCCCAAAGAGCUUCAGAAAACCGAACCAAGAACAUUACAGGCUAGCCCCCUGUCCAGGAAAAGAAGGAAACAACAUCUGUGCAGUUAUAAUCAGGCGUCUCAACAGCCUGCAGAGGACCAAGGCCUGGCCCAAGCAGGGAGCCUGGAGCCAGAGGAAAUGGCCCCUGAGAACAGAAGACCCCCAGCCCAGAUGUAGCCAGCACCAGCCCAAGGAGCCAUGUCCAUGCAUCUGGAGGAUGGUUUGUGAGGCUGGCCAUCUCUUUCUGUGGAUCCUUUACAAAAAUAAGCAGGAAAGUGAAUCCGGUAAUAACAACACUGCCCUUCUCUCUGCUAUGUUUUGGACUGAUUCACUGUCCCUUUGGCAUUUUCAGCACUAACUCACUUCCCCUGGUUGCUGUUCCCACAUGUUUGUUUAAAUUUUCCCUUAAUAUAGGUCA
rnacentral:lncRNA from 1 species